rnacentral:rRNA from 1 species
CAGGACGAACGCUGGCGGCGUGCCUAACACAUGCAAGUCGAGCGGGGACUGCACGACGGAUUUGAAGAUUCGGUUGGAUAUGAAGAUGUACAGUUCUAGCGGCGGACGGGUGAGUAACGCGUGAGCAACCUGUCCCUUACAGGGGGAUAACACAGCGAAAGUUGUACUAAUACCGCAUGAGACCACGAUAUCACAUGGUACAGGGGUCAAAGGAGCAAUCCGGUAAGGGGUGGGCUCGCGUCCGAUUAGAUAGUUGGUGAGGUAACGGCCCACCAAGUCGACGAUCGGUAGCCGACCUGAGAGGGUGAUCGGCCACAUUGGGACUGAGACACGGCCCAAACUCCUACGGGAGGCAGCAGUGGGGAAUAUUGGGCAAUGGGGGGAACCCGUGACCCAGCAACGCCGCGUGAGGGAAGAAGGUUUUCGGAUCGUAAACCUCUGUCCUAUGUGAAGAGGAAGAGACGGUAGCAUAGGAGGAAGCCCCGGCUAACUACGUGCCAGCCGCCGC